rnacentral:rRNA from 1 species
AGUGAACGCUGGCGGUAGGCCUAACACAUGCAAGUCGAACGGCAGCACAGUAAGAGCUUGCUCUUACGGGUGGCGAGUGGCGGACGGGUGAGGAAUACAUCUGAAUCUACUUUUUCGUGGGGGAUAACGUAGGGAAACUUACGCUAAUACCGCAUACGACCUACGGGUGAAAGCAGGGGAUCUUCGGACCUUGCGCGAUUGAAUGAGCCGAUGUCGGAUUAGCUAGUUGGCGGGGUAAAGGCCCACCAAGGCGACGAUCCGUAGCUGGUCUGAGAGGAUGAUAAGCCACACUGGAACUGAGACACGGUCCAGACUCCUACGGGAGGCAGCAGUGGGGAAUAUUGGACAAUGGGCGCAAGCCUGAUCCAGCCAUACCGCGUGGGUGAAGAAGGCCUUCAGGUUGUAAAGCCCUUUUGUUGGGAAAGAAAAGCAGCAGGUUAAUACCCCGCUGUUCUGACGGUACCCAAAGAAUAAGCACCGGCUAACUUCGUG